rnacentral:rRNA from 1 species
CCUACGGGAGGCAGCAGUAAGGAAUAUUGGUCAAUGGAGGCAACUCUGAACCAGCCAUGCCGCGUGCAGGAAGAAGGCCCUAUGGGUCGUAAACUGCUUUUGUACCAGAGAAAACCCGAGUACGUGUACUCGGUUGAUAGUAUGGUAAGAAUAAGCAUCGGCUAACUUCGUGCCAGCAGCCGCGGUAAGACGAAGGAUGCAAGCGUUAUCCGGAUUCAUUGGGUUUAAAGGGUGCGUAGGCGGACUGAUAAGUCAGUGGUGAAAUCUCUCAGCUUAACUGAGAAACUGCCAUUGACACUGUUAGUCUAGAGUAUAGAUGACGUUGGCGGAAUAUGACAUGUAGUGGUGAAAUACUUAGAUAUGUCAUAGAACACCGAUUGCGAAGGCAGCUAACGAAACUAUAACUGACGCUGAGGCACGAAAGUGCGGGGAUCAAACAGGAUUAGAUACCCUGGUAGUCCGCACCGUAAACGAUGAUUACUCGUUGUUGGCAAUAUGACCGUCAGCGACCAAGCGAAAGCGAUAAGAAUCCACCUGGGGAGUACGCCGGCAACGGUGAAACUCAAANAGAGUAGAGNGNGAGAGNGCGACGGACGACACGAGGGAGGAGG